GUUCACGUAGUGCGCAAAACGUGCCUGUGGUUCACUGAAUGCAGUUGCAGUAUGCUCAUGGUAGAAGACGAAAAUAUUUUGGCAAUAUCAAGGAAUUUACAAACUUGCCUACAAACCAACAGUUAAAGAAGUGUUGUAUUGCCCAAAAGAAAUGAGUGCAGACAGAACAGAAAGACUAAUCAUUUUAGUUUUUCCGAAAGUUUAUGAAGUGAAGGAAGGUCUCUUCUUCUUCAAAUGGAAGGAGUGGUGAGUGAGAGCCUCCGAAAUGUACGUCUAAUACACUGUUGGGACACUUCUUCUCUUGGUGGUAGCCAAUCAGACAUUUAAAAGCCAUGGUUCCCGUUUGGAAAAUGCCCUUCCGGAAUGGGUAUCGGCUUAAGAGAGAGAUAAAUUCACCUGCAAAUGGCCAUGGUAGUAGCCAUAAACUCUUUUUUUUUCCUCAUCCUAUUUAGUACGCUAUACCAUCAAAUGGGAUGGGGAUGCAGAUUCAACUCUCUAUGUUUAUGGUGAUGAAAAAAACAGUAAGUCGUCAAGAAUAACUUUCAUCAGCAGCAAUCCUCCAGAACAGCAAUUAAUUAGCAAUUUCCAAAUGCUUCGAGCAGUACAUAACAUAUCUGGUUGCCGAGAAGUACAUGUCAUCGUUACAAUUUUUAUUAGUUUUCAUUGAAUUUCAAAAAUUUGUUAAAUGUUAAUAUUAUGUCUUUUAGGAAUUUUGAAUCCGAAAAAAUUUCAAAAUUUUGGAAGGUUUUAUCCGGCAUGCUCUAUACGAGUGGGGGAGGGGCCGUGUACCCGCACGUGGUACAACCACGUCUAAUCGCAACAUUUGAAGCCAUGCAAGAAAAGUAAAAAAAAAAAAUAAACCUUUUUUUUUUGCUGUGAAGUGUGAACUUGGGCAAUCAGUCGACGGAAAAUGUAAGAAACAUACGUAAGCAUAUUAUCCAUUCUCAUUAAUUUGAUUUUCCAUCAAAAGGCUUUCAUAGUUUUGGCGUAAGUCACUUCAAACAAUUAGCAUAGAUCGACGAAUUUUUUUUGCUCAAAAAUUUUUUGCUAAAGAAAAGUGACAUAUUUUUUCCAUUCCAAUCACGACUUCAAUGUAGUGAAAGAAUUACCCCUUUUGAUCAACAAAACAUGCAAGACGUUUCUACUAAAACAACCCUGAAAAAAAAAGAAUGUGAUGUUCGUCUCAACAAGAGAUGCAACCAUGUUAAUGUUUUGAGUGCGCUGAUCUCAAGAACCUCGCUUAAAAAGAGGUGGAGACUGCGUCAAGACGAAAGCACUGGAGAGAUGGGGAAGCUCUAGGCUUGAACUAUUCCAUCAAUUCGGCUAUGUUAAAACACGCUUCAGAAUUAGGAACACCUAAUUCAAGCAGCGUUGCAGAAUAAGAAUAUAUUGAUUAUUAAAAGUUUUGUUUUGAUAUUCAUAUUUGGCAUUGGCAUUGCUGUUUAUUCCGCCUGUAAUUCUGGUUCUCAGCCAAUGAGGCGACAGCGUCGUCAGCAGAUAGUUGCCAACAGAUAAAUGUAAAGAAUCACAAAGAAUUGAAUUCCAUGGAAAUUUUUCGUCAUUGUAGGGGGGGGAUUCACAAACUCAAAUGUAUAUAAAUAUUAUUUUUUAUGAAAUGCUUAUAUUUUCUGUUCAUCAUCACGAUUCAUAACAGUGUCUGGAAUUAUUAUCUCAGCGGUUGUGUUGUCAGAAUCUUGCGUGUCAUUGUUUGAUUCAUUAAUCUGUUAAAAAUUCUACAAAUAUAAUUAAAUACAAUUUUAUAUUACUUAAAUAUUAAUACCGUGUUAGCACUAUCAUUUUCUUCUACCCUACUGACAUCCAUAUCAAUAUCAGAAUCCUCUAAAUCAAUAUUAUUAUUUUUAGUUUUAUAGUUAGAAAUUUUUUAUUUUUACAUGUAUACAGCUGAAUACCUUUGACCGAUUAUUAAUGGGAGUAGUUGUAUCACUUGACUGUUUGACAAUACUAUUUGAAUCUUCAGAAGGUUGUUAUGUAAAUAAAAUAUUUAUGCUUUGUUACUUGAUAUUACAUAUUUAUUUUAAUUGAAUAACCUCUUCAAUUUGGCUUUCUGACUCGCUUUCUUUAUCCAUGGACUUUUUAUUGACUUUUUCACUUGACUUUUUUACGAUACUAUUUGCAUCUUCAGAAGACUGUUAAGUAAAUAAAAUAUUUAUGCAUUGUUACUUGUUAUAGAUAUUUAUUUCAAUUGAAUUACCUUUCAAUUUGGCUUUCAGGCUCGCUUGCUUCAUCCAUGGAUUUCUCAUCUCCCAUCCCGUCAUCUGAAAAAGAACUUUCAUCUGCAACCAAUGCUUUUAAAUCGAGAUUUUCCACCGAACGGCAAGUCAUUGAACUUUCCUGUAAAUAUUUAUUUUGAUGUUAUUAAAAGAUAGGUUAGAAAAAUAAAAAAUAUUGAUAUUACUGGUAUACUUGACGCUUGAUCCUUAAAUUGAUCAUGAUUGACUUGCUUGACUUUUGGGUUCAGCAUUUUUUCGAUUAAAAUUUUAUGAUUUGCCUACACAGAAAACAAAAAUAUGGUAUCCUCAAAAUCCUCAAAGCAACAAAAAGAUUUUACCCUUUCUGCUAAUAAUUCAGCUUUAGAUCGAGCCAGAUCUGAUUUCAAGUUCUGUAAAGAAAAGGCAAUUCGAUUAAUGUAAUUAAAAAGUUAAAGGUAAAGAUUAAAAUUAAAACUUACAUUAACUUCAACGUUAACUGUCCUUUUAUAAGCCAUAAAUCCUCUAACAAGUUGUUUUUUGGUUAAAUUCAGUAACUUUGAUUCUGUUAGAUCGUUCAUUUUAGAACUUUACUAAACUAGCUACUAUGUUUUGAUGUUAUAGUGUACUGUGUUGCCUAAUUUUGAAAUAAUUCUUCGUUAAACUAAAUGUUUCAUGGCUUAUCUAACCAUGAAAAUCAUAUAAUCAUGACCAUGCUACGUUAUUGUAUAACUAUGGCUGAAAAAUUUCGAUGUUUUGCUCUUUUCGUUAACAAAUCAUGCAGUUAGCGUAAAAGGCGUAAUUUGAAAUGGUGCCUUCUUUCAUGCAGUCAUUAAAAUUCUGUUGAUUAAUUUCCCUUAAAAUCAAUAUAUGGCUUAAGAUAAGAGAAGAUAAAUCCCUCCUUUGCUUAAAUUUUUUUGAAUUUUAAGUGAAGUCUGGGUACAAUUGAUUUCAUGUAAAAGAGUAAAAAUUUAUUUAUUGUUCGUAAACCACUGUAACUUGAGAACUUUAAAAACUCUUGAAUACUGCUUUAAAUAUUAUUCUUCGUGCUCAGGAUCUGAAGCAUUUAAGCGCUUUUUCAAAGCGGUCAUCAGUUUUCUAUAUAACAUACAGUAAAAUGCUACAAACAUAUCGUGUUGAAUCACUAUUUAAAAAAAACUUACCUUGCAACAAGCUUCGCCAUCACUCAUUACACUCAUUUCCUCUUGAGUUUCAAGCUGAGGUUGGGGUUUCUUUUUUUAUACCAUUCCACUGCCUUACUGAUACAAAAUGGAACAAUCAUUGGCCCAAAUUCUUUACUUAUCCAAAUAAGCCAAAGAGAAACAUUCCAUAUGAUGUCCAGUGAGGAUUGUCGAUCAGCACACGGGUAAUGGGUGUAAUUACUUCGUGAAUUGCAGCUUCAAUCAGGUCGGGUGUUGUGGAUAAAGAAACAAGAAUUUCGCAAAUUACGCGAAUUGGUGGCAUGUUCUAAAAUGUUAAAAAUGUAGAUUAACAUCAACAAAUUUGGAAAAAAAAUUUAAAAUCUAACUUACAAAAGGUGAGUUAUUUGCUGAAUGGUGGAAACAGUUAAUUAAGAAGCAAGUUUUACAAUCACGUUUUUCGCAGCAAAAGCACGGUAUGCGUAGUUGCCAUGCAAAAUUGAAUAUACCCUCAUGCUUACAACAUGGUAGAAGAGGGGAUGGAAUUAUCGUUUACCAAUAUUUAAAAAACUUACCUUGAAACAAGCUCCCCUAACACAUCACUCAUUUCCUCCUGAAUUUCAAGCUUAGAAAGGAGAUUCUUUGGGGUUUCUCUUUUUUCUUGCGAUAUAUUCCCCUUAUUCCCAAAUCCCAAAUCCAAAAACACAUACAUUUCAAUCCAAUUCCUUACGCUGUCCCAUGAGGAUCGUCGGACAUCACAUGGGUUAUUACUUUUUCAAUGGCACCUCAAUCGGGUCAGGUGUGGUGGAUGAUGUGAGACUAUCAAUUUGACGAAUUUGCCGAUUUGAUGGCAUGUUCAAAAAUGUUCAAAAUGUAUGUUAACAUUUACAAAUGAAUAAACUUGAUAAAUUUUACUUACGAAAUGGCGGAGUAAUUUGCUGAAUUGAAAAUGGGGGAAACAGUUUACGACAAAUUUUUGCAAUUCACUGUUUUCUGAAGUGGAGGAACGAAAUAUAUAGAAAGUAAUGUAUCCACGAAAUUUCGGAUAUAUCCUUUAAAAAGAGUUACUAUGCAUUAGGAUUCAGACUAACCCAACCUUUGUGAUU